rnacentral:rRNA from 1 species
GGCCAGACUCCUACGGGAGGCAGCAGUGGGGAAUAUUGCACAAUGGGGGAAACCCUGAUGCAGCGACGCCGCGUGAGUGAAGAAGUAUUUCGGUAUGUAAAGCUCUAUCAGCAGGAAAGAAAAUGACGGUACCUGACUAAGAAGCCCCGGCUAACUACGUGCCAGCAGCCGCGGUAAUACGUAGGGGGCAAGCGUUAUCCGGAAUUACUGGGUGUAAAGGGAGCGUAGACGGUGAAGUAAGUCUGGAGUGAAAGGCGGGGGCCCAACCCCCGGACUGCUCUGGAAACUAUUUGACUGGAGUGCAGGAGAGGUAAGCGGAAUUCCUAGUGUAGCGGUGAAAUGCGUAGAUAUUAGGAGGAACACCAGUGGCGAAGGCGGCUUACUGGACUGUAACUGACGUUGAGGCUCGAAAGCGUGGGGAGCAAACAGGAUUAGAUACCCGAGUAGU